AUUAAGCAUAUCAAUAAGCGGAGGAAAAGAAACCAACAGGGAUUGCCCCAGUAACGGCGAGUGAAGCGGCAACAGCUCAAAUUUGAAAUCUGGCGCAAGCCCGAGUUGUAAUUUGCAGAGGAUGCUUCAGGGCAGCGACCGGUCUAAGUUCCUUGGAACAGGACGUCGUAGAGGGUGAGAAUCCCGUAUGCGACCGGUUGGCACCCGUCACGUAGCUCCUUCGACGAGUCGAGUUGUUUGGGAAUGCAGCUCUAAAUGGGAGGUAAAUUUCUUCUAAAGCUAAAUACCGGCCAGAGACCGAUAGCGCACAAGUAGAGUGAUCGAAAGAUGAAAAGCACUUUGGAAAGAGAGUUAAAAAGCACGUGAAAUUGUUGAAAGGGAAGCGCAUGCAACCAGACUUGUCGGCGGUGUUCCGCCGGUCUUCUGACCGGUCCACUCGCCGCCGGCAGGCCAGCAUCAUCUGGGCGCGCCGGACAAAGGCGCGGGGAAUGUAGCUCCUCGGAGUGUUAUAGCCCCGCGCACAAUACGGCGCCGCUCGGGUGAGGUCCGCGCUUCGGCUAGGAUGCUGGCGUAAUGGUUGUCUGCGGCCCGUCUUGAAACACGGACCAAGGAGUCUAACAUCUAUGCGAGUGUUCGGGUGUCAAACCCCUACGCGGAAUGAAAGUGAACGGAGGUGGGAAGCGCAAGCUGCACCAUCGACCGAUCCUGAUGUCUUCGGAUGGAUUUGAGUAAGAGCAUAGCUGUUGGGACCCGAAAGAUGGUGAACUAUGCCUGAAUAGGGUGAAGCCAGAGGAAACUCUGGUGGAGGCUCGCAGCGGUUCUGACGUGCAAAUCGAUCGUCAAAUUUGGGUAUAGGGGCGAAAGACUAAUCGAACCAUCUAGUAGCUGGUUCCUGCCGAAGUUU
rnacentral:rRNA from 1 species